GAUGAACGCUGGCGGCGUGCUUAACACAUGCAAGUCGAACGAUGAAGCCCAGCUUGCUGGGUGGAUUAGUGGCGAACGGGUGAGUAACACGUGAGUAACCUGCCCUUGACUCUGGGAUAAGCCUGGGAAACUGGGUCUAAUACUGGAUAUGACUUCUCAUCGCAUGGUGGGGGGUGGAAAGAUUUAUUGGUCUUGGAUGGACUCGCGGCCUAUCAGCUUGUUGGUGAGGUAAUGGCUCACCAAGGCGACGACGGGUAGCCGGCCUGAGAGGGUGACCGGCCACACUGGGACUGAGACACGGCCCAGACUCCUACGGGAGGAAGCAGUGGGGAAUAUUGCACAAUGGGCGCAAGCCUGAUGCAGCGACGCCGCGUGAGGGAUGACGGCCUUCGGGUUGUAAACCUCUUUCAGUAGGGAAGAAGCGAGAGUGACGGUACCUGCAGAAGAAGCGCCGGCUAACUACGUG
rnacentral:rRNA from 1 species